rnacentral:rRNA from 1 species
UACAGAGGUCUCAACCGUUGUUCGGAUUCAUUGGGCGUAAAGGGUGCGUAGGCUGCGGAGUAAGUCGGGUGUGAAAUCUCGGGGCUCAACCCCGAAACUGCACUUGAUACUGCUUCGCUCGAGUACUGGAGAGGAGACUGGAAUUUACGGUGUAGCAGUGAAAUGCGUAGAUAUCGUAAGGAAGACCAGUGGCGAAGGCGAGUCUCUGGACAGUUACUGACGCUGAGGCACGAAGGCCAGGGGAGCAAACGGG